GGAGGGGUGUCCGAGCGGUUUAAGGUGCGGCUCUCGAAAAGCCGUGUGGCGGUAACGCCACCGCGAGUUCGAAUCUCGCCCCCUCCGCCA
rnacentral:tRNA from 1 species